GACGAACGCUGGCGGCGUGCUUAACACAUGCAAGUCGAACGAAGUGGCGCACGGGUGAGUAACGCGUAAUCAACCUGCCCUUCAGAGGGGGAAAACAGUUGGAAACGACUGCUAAUACCGCAUACUGAAGGGGGGGAUUGCGUUUGAUUAGCUAGUUGGAGGGGUAACGGCCCACCAAGGCGAUGAUUAGGAGGCGGGUUGGGGGGAGGAACGGUCAAAUUGGGACUGGGGCACGGCCCAGACGCCUACGGGAGGCAGCAGUGGGGAAACUUCCGCAAAGGACGAAAGUCUGACGGAGCAAAGCCGCGGGAGUGAUGACGGCCUUCGGGUUGUAAAGCUCUGUUAAUCGGGACGCGGUACCGGAAUAGAAAGCCACGGCUAACUACGUGCCAGCAGCCGCGGUAAUUC
rnacentral:rRNA from 1 species